rnacentral:rRNA from 1 species
AUUCUGCCUGACGUGGACGCUAGCCUUAAGGAUUAAGCCAUGCAAGCCAGCGAAGGUAACGGAGCGGCAGACGGCUCAGUAGGACAGGGAUAUCUGACCACAUAUAUGGAUAACCGCGGUAAACUGUGGCUAAUACUAGUGUGGGUGAGUUCCUGGCCUAUCAGCUAGACGGUACGGUAAGUGCGUACCGUGGCGAUGACGGGUAACGGGGAAUCGGGGUUUGAUUCCGGAGAGGGAGCCUGAGAGAUGGCUACCACGUCCAAGGGCGGCAGCAGGCGCGAAACUUACCCAUUUGGAGGACCAGAGGUAGUGACGAGGUGUAAUUAAUGAGGAUAGUUUAAAAAGCUAACCGAAAGCAACUAGAGGGCAAGUCUGGUGCCAGCAGCCGCGGUAAUUCCAGCUCUAGGAGCGUCUGUGUGUGUUGUUGCGGUUAAAAAGCGCGUAGUCGGGCAGACAGCCAGCUAUAAAGGUGCGAUCUUUUGUCGUGCAUUAAGCUGGAACGAAGGCCUAGGAACCGGAGAGGGGCAAUGGUAUUCGACAGCGAGGGGUGAAAACCGAUGACCUGUCGAGGAGCAACAGAGGCGAAGGCGAUUGUCCGGGACGGGUUCGACGAUCAAGCGCGUGAGCAGGAGGAUCGAAGGCGAUUAGAGACCGUCGUAGUUCCUGCAGUAAACGAUGCCAACAGGGUUGCAGGAAUCUGUGACUCAGGGGAAACCGAGUGUAUGGGCUCCGGGGAUAGUACAGGCGCAAGCUGGAAACUUAAAGAAAUUGACGGAAGGACACCACAAGGAGUGGAGUGUGCGGGUUAAUUUGACUCAACGCGGGACAACUUACCGGGGCAGGCAGUGUCGUGUGAGGGAAUAGGAUAAGAUCUUGUUCCCGAGGAUGCUGCGUGUGGUGCAUGGCCGUUCUUAACACGUGGGGUGACUUCUCUGGUUAAAUCCGAUAACGCGUGAGACCCUGAAUAGUGACGAUACACGAAAAGUGUAAGGAAGCACGGGUCGAUAACAGGUCUGUGAUGCCCGUAGACGUUCCGGGCGCCACGCGCACUACAAUGGGGGAGGUUACAUGAAACUGGGCUCCCUCGCAGUUGGGAUCGUCGCUUGUAAAUGCGUCGUGAACGAGGAAUUCCUAGUAGCGUGCUGUCAUUAUCAGCAGGCGAAUGGGUCCCUGUUCUUUGUACACACCGCCCGUCGUUAUCUAAGAUGGAUGUGCGGAUGAAGGCGAUUAGGUCGCAAGAAUCCGUGCCGCUAGAUUGGAUACAAGUCGUAACAAGGUAACCA